rnacentral:rRNA from 1 species
UACAGAGGUCUCAAGCGUUGUUCGGAUUCAUUGGGCGUAAAGGGUGCGUAGGUGGCGCGGUAAGUCGGGUGUGAAAUUUCGGAGCUUAACUCCGAAACCGCAUUCGAUACUGCCGUGCUUGAGGACUGGAGAGGAGACUGGAAUUUACGGUGUAGCAGUGAAAUGCGUAGAGAUCGUAAGGAAGACCAGUGGCGAAGGCGGGUCUCUGGACAGUUCCUGACACUGAGGCACGAAGGCCAGGGGAGCAAACAGG